rnacentral:tRNA from 1 species
CUGGGUGUGGCGCAGAUGGUAGCGCGCUACCUUGGGGUGGUAGAGGCCGCCGGUUCAAGUCCGGUCACUCAGACCA